rnacentral:rRNA from 1 species
AGUGAACGCUGGCGGUAGGCCUAACACAUGCAAGUCGAACGGCAGCACAGUAAGAGCUUGCUCUUACGGGUGGCGAGUGGCGGACAGGUGAGGAAUACAUCGGAAUCUACUUUUUCGUGGGGGAUAACGUAGGGAAACUUACGCUAAUACCGCAUACGGCCUACGGGUGAAAGCAGGGGAUCUUCGGACCUUGCGCGAUUGAAUGAGCCGAUGUCGGAUUAGCUAGUUGGCGGGGUAAAGGCCCACCAAGGCGACGAUCCGUAGCUGGUCUGAGAGGAUGAUCAGCCACACUGGAACUGAGACACGGUCCUGACUCCUACGGGAGGCAGCAGUGGGGAAUAUUGGACAAUGGGCGCAAGCCUGAUCCAGCCAUACCGCGUGGGUGAAGAAGGCCUUCGGGUUGUAAAGCCCUUUUGUUGGGAAAGAAAAGCAGCAGGUUAAUACCCCGCUGUUCUGACGGUACCCAAAGAAUAAGCACCGGCUAACUUCGUG